CAGGGGAAGCGGAGGGGCCCGGGAACCAGCCCCGCGCCCAGGCUCGGUCCCGCCCGAAGGCCCUUCCCGGCCGCUCGGGGGCCGCCGGUGCACCGAUUACGGACGUGAAUGGGAAGCGGCAGCUAGUGAAUGAUCGCGCUGCUCGCGCUGCCUUUGGAGGCUGAGGAGCAGGUGCUGCGCUGCAAAACACAGUGCUUCAUUUAAAAGCCCUCUGUCACGUACGCACCCUCACGACGUUCAGGAAUCCUCCAGCCCCCUCCCGUCACUACCCUGCGAUGGAGAAGCUGAGGCUGGGAGAGAAGCUGGGAUAUGUCCCUGGGCACAUGGUGAGUCCGUGGGAGCUGAGAUACAGCCCCGUCUCCUGACAGCCUCGCCAUUGGCUAUACCAGGUUGGAACCUGAAGAAGGUUUCACUUCGGUGACAUUAAUUUCUAGGCAUGGAUCCUUUGCACGCUGGCCAUUGUGACAUCUCUCUUAACAACACUGAUGAGCGGUUCAGAACACGGGCUUCGCAUGAACAAGACCAGGCUCUGUCCUGAUCAGUCGUACAAUAAUGACAAGCUGGUUCAUCUUGAGGUCUGUUUUCUCAUCUGCAAAAUGAGUAUGAUUAUACCUCACAGAAGCAGUACUGAACAAUACCAGCAGCCCUGAGCCAGGAAGAGAGGGGAACACUCAUAUGGGAAUGGUUCUCUCCACAUUUACCACCUAGUUUGGAAUCCAGAUUCAGCUAUGGGACUCAGUCUACUCCUGCAAUGAACUAAAAAUAACAGCUUGUGUCUCAUUCAUGGAUAUCUCACCACCACAGAACACAGUGCCUGAUGCCCAAGGGUCAGAGUAAAUAUUUUUAAGUUGUUCAUGGACUACAUGAAUAACUCCUUACAAAGGAAGGAGGACCCUGACAAAGAUUCUGACAAAGAUAAUAGAAGAAAAUUCCAGGAGGAUGGAAUGGCAGAAGCAGAAGCAAGGAAGAGGGAAAGUCCAGGCAAGAGAGACUGCAGGGGCCACAAGGAGCAGACCAGUGCCCAUCACUGGCUAAAGAAGGGCAGUGGGAACCAUCAGUGGUUGGCGAGGAAGACAAAUAAAAAUCACCAGAGCUGGAGCUUCGGAAAGUGGCUCAAGUUCUAUGAAGAACUAAUUGGUGGAAAGAGAAACUGGAGAGAAAGAGAUAAUCAGGAAGCUGCUAAAGUGAUCCAUGGAAAAAGUUAUAGGGAUCUGACCAGGCAGCUCUAAGUAGGAAUGAAAAGAUCAAGCACAUGGCUCCAGAAUGAUUGAAAGGAAUCGUGUGAGAAUGCAGCAAUACCCCUCACAUUUCCGCCAGGCAGAGAUGGGUAAAGGGAGCAGAGAUUGCACGCACAGCAAAAGGAGGGAGAGUUUGGGAAUGAAGAGAAUUUGAUAUGGAAAUCUGGUGUUUAAGGUGUUGAAGAGCCAACAAUGGAAACCAUCCAGCAGAAGGAAAGAGAUCAGGACUAAGAUACGAAUUUAAGUGCCACCUGCCCAGAGUGGGUACUGGAGCUGGUAAGCCUUAAACAAACAUCUCCAUGGGACAUGUUUCUCCUGCACAAUAGCUCAGCCUGAGCCUAGAAGAGGGGUUCCAGAAUCCUCCAGGAUACUAGAACCCUGUUUCUGUCUCCUUUGCUUUUUACUGGACAGCAGAGGCACACCUUGCUGUCAUUCAACUGUUCACACAAAUGUAGGCAUCACUCUUAUAUCCUAGAAAAUCACUUUUCUACCUUCAAGACCUUGAUUCUCUCUCCUGCUGUGCCCUUCCAACCGAUGUAUGUAGCCUGAGCUCACCCAGCCAUAACUCUCCUAUCCCACAUUCCAAUUAGCCAAAUCUAGAUUCCCCUGGGCCUGUAUCCUCAUAAGGAUGGAGUUGGGAGAAAAAGAACAAUCCACACAGAGCUAGAAAAAAUUCUCCUCACAGUAGAAACUUGAGCGUUGGCUCACAGAAAGAUUAUACUCCUACCUGUUUCCAAACUUAAAUAAUGAGGGAACCCAGCCAAGACCCAGACUGGUGUGAAGGCAUUUCCCAAGGUGAGGGGUACCACAUGGUUAGCUGGUCAUGGUGAUCAACAGAGAGAAUGCUGAUCCCAGGUCAGGCCCGGGAGGAGCGACUCCAGACUGAUGCAGACGUGCUCAACCCCCAAGGAGGCUUUCCCUGAAGGAGACAGACAAAGGCAGGACGAGACUCAGCCCCCCUGUUUCCUUCAGAAGACCUGCUGCUCCAGAAGUAGCCCCUCUCAGAUCUGCCAAGAAUGAGGCUUUUAAAUUACUAUUGACAUGGACACAAGAUCAGAAGUUCCUAGAGUUACUUCCUACAUAAGUCACAGGAGCAGAGAAGGGGGUCGGUCCCCUGCUGAUGCGAGUGGUUCUGAGCCCUGGCUCACAUCCUGAUCCCCUGGAGAACAUGACUACCUCUGGAGAUGCAGGGGGUCAGCUGACAGUCAACACAAGUCAUUUGUUCUUUGUUUAGCUUGAGCCUUUCUAGGGCAGCAAGAGCAUUACUGGAAGGGGAGAGGCCCUGAGACAAGACCACGACACAACUACCUUUCUAAAGGAUGCCUGUCAUUCUCAUCUCAAUUUAAAAAGUUACUUAUUUUGCCUUUACUGUUGAUAUUCUUUUCCUUGCCAUGGCAGGCAGAUUUAGAUAGGCAAGAUCCAACUUCAAAAUGUGCUGUGCCACCUACAGGCCUCUGGGUUUCCCUGGGCCUCUGUUUCAUCCGAUGUCAGAAGGAGGGGAUGUCCUUGCCUGAGUGUCUUCAGGGCAUUCUGAGGAAUAGAUAAUCCGUGCAUAUGGAAAAGGGCUUUGUACUCUUAUGCCCCCCCACACAUCUGAUUGUAUUCGUGCACUGACUGAACUUGUCAGGUGGAUAUCUUCUUCCCCAGUGGCUACUCUAUUUUCCCUGAGGAUCAGGAAGUGUGGUAAUAGGCUGUCACUUGCCUUGUUGGGCUGUUUGUUCUUUCCUGUCUCUGUCUACAAUGGAACGGGCAUGUCUGUGGAACACAAGGCUACUCAGCACCUCCAGUCUGUGAGAGCUGCUUGCACUGCAUAUGUUGGAGCAAGUAAGACAGAAAAAGAAAGUGGAUUUAUUCCCACCAUUAAUAAUCUAUAACAAAGCAUAGCCAAGCUGAUCAGAGAAAACUGGAUCAAUCAACCUUGCCUAGAACAUUCUCAAAAUAUGGAGUUCAUUCUGAUCUUUGGAAACUUGGGAUCAGAUCAUUCUGGGUUCCA